CACCGCCGGGAGGCCGGGGCUCUGGCGGCCCGCGCUCACCAUUCGAGCGGCGUCCGGGGGCCGCAGCAGAAGCACGGCCGCCUCUCCGAGGCCGGGGGCGGAGGCUGAGCCUGGAGCCCGCACCAGGCGACGCGAGCGCGCGAGGAGCCGCACAGCGCGAUACAUGGUGCAGCGGGAGCCUGGGUAGAAUUUGGGGGGGGUUGAGGCCACGCCCCCUCCGCGCGGGCUGUCAGAACCCGUCCCUCCCACGGCGCCUCGCUCUUAUCCAAUCAACAGCCUCAAACCCGGGGGUGGGGCGGGACCAAUCGUGAAUGGCCAGUAAGGAGUGAGGAGGGCGGGCUUAACUUCCCUGUCGUAGAGCGGAGCCUGGAAGCCCUGGGAUUCAUGGGAAACUAGUGCGAAGGGCAUUCUGGGGAGGGAGGUUCUUCCGCAGAGUCGGACGCCGGGAUGCCGCGGGAGGCGGGAGGGCGGGAACGUUAGCGGAUGAACGAGACUGAAUCAGGGCUUGGUCAAGGACCUAUCCUAGAAAGGAGCGUUCAUGUAUCACGGAAUCACUCAUUCCGUGUUGGACUCUUUUAAAGGCUUCUUCCAGAUUACAUCUUCCAUUCAGAAAUUGUGGAAAUCGAAGCAAAGCAGAGACAGUCCAAUAAUUGCCCAUGAUGCCCGACACCUAAGAAAGUCAUUCUGAGCUUGAAACCAGAUGGCAGUUGACCAUGAAAGGGAACCAUUGGAUGAUGUCCAGGAGUCCAACGUCCAGGACUUAGGAGAGUUAGUCAACCCUCUGGUCACAGAGAGAGAGAGAGAGAGGCAGAGACACAGGCAGAGGAGAAGCAGGCUCCAUGCACUGGGAGCCCGACGUGGGAUUCGAUCCCGGGUCUCCAGGAGCACGCCCUGGGCCAAAGGCAGGCACCAAACCGCUGUGCCACCCAGGGAUCCCAGCUGUUCCUCUUAAUCCCUGGAAAUAUUGCAUAUUGGUUUUAUUGAACUCUUAAAAAUAAUUUUAAAAAGGUAACUGGUUGUUCUAGAUACUUUUUAAAUUUCCUAUGACUUCUAGUAAGCUUAUUUCUCAGAGUAGAGAAAAGGCAAUCAUCACUUGGGAGUUUUUUGGGGAAGGAGCUCAGCUCCUCUUCCAAUGACAAUUUGAAUUUUUGAGAAAUGGAAUUAUGGCUUCAUAUAUCAACUUUUUUUUAAUGUGCUUCUUUGGUUCAUAUCUUGUUAUUUUCAUUUCAUUCAUUUUGUUCAUAUAUAUGGGUGUGUUUCCCAAUUUCCUGACUUGAAAUCUAGUUCAGAGUUUCUGUAAGUGUGGGAUAUAUACCAUUCUUGGUACCUUGGUGAUUGUAGGUGGGCCAGGAAUGCAACAUUAAUUAAUAUUGAUUAUUAUCCUAUUUUUUAAUUUUCUUCUAGCCCUACCCAUUUAGUAAGAAAGAGUCUUUUUUUUUUUUGGUGCAAGUGUAUAUUUUAUACUUCUCGAACACUUGUUAAUAUCCUUUUGUAAAAGUAGAGGGAAAGUCUUUGGUGAAAUUUAAUUUGUAGGUAUAGAAUUUAGCUACAAUUUCUUUUUUCUUUUUUUUUUAUUAAAGGUUUUACUUAUUUAUUUAAAGAGAGAGAUUGCAUGAGCCUAUAAGCAGAGGAGGAGCAGGGAGAGAGAGAAAGGAUAGAGAGAGAA